rnacentral:rRNA from 1 species
AUGCUUAAAGCUGGUACUACCACUCCCAGUCUCAGCUCUUUUGCUUCUCCUGUCCUAUUGGUAAAAAAGAAAGAUGGAUCUUGGAGAUUUUGUGUAGAUUAUAGGAAGCUAAAUUCCAUCACUAUGAAGAGCAAGUUCCCAAUGCCAGUGGUAGAUGAGCUUUUGGAUGAGCUUAGUGGCACUAAGUGGUUCUCCAAGUUAGAUCUCAGGUCAGGAUAUCAUCAAAUCAGAAUGUUACCGGAGGAUGAACACAAAACAACUUUCAAAACUCACAGUGGACAGUAUCAAUUUAGGGUGAUGCCUUUUGGUCUUACUAAUUCCCCCUCCACUUUUCAAUGCAUCAUGAAUUGGAUUUUUGCUGCUUACAACAGAAAAUUUGUUCUUGUCUUCAUGGAUGAUAUCUUAAUCUUUAGUGAGACCCUGUAA